GAUGAACGCUGGCGGCAUGCUUAACACAUGCCAGUCGAACGAGAAGUGAAGACGGAAACCUUCGGGCGGAAGGCUUUAUUUCGAGUGGCGGACGGGUGAGUAACGCGUGGGUAACCUGCCUCAUACAGGGGGAUAACAGUUGGAAACGACUGUUAAUACCGCAUAAGACCACAGCACCGCAUGGUGCGGGGGUAAAAACUCCGGUGGUAUGAGAUGGACCCGCGUUCGAUUAGCCAGUUGGCGGGGUAACGGCCCACCAAAGCGACGAUCGAUAGCCGAUCUGAGAGGAUGACCGGCCACAUUGGGACUGAGACACGGCCCAAACUCCUACGGGAGGCAGCAGUGGGGAAUAUUGCACAAUGGGGGAAACCCUGAUGCAGCGACGCCGCGUGAGUGAAGAAGUAUUUCGGUAUGUAAAGCUCUAUCAGCAGGGAAGAAAAUGACGGUACCUGAGUAAGAAGCCCCGGCUAACUACGUG
rnacentral:rRNA from 1 species